rnacentral:rRNA from 1 species
UACGUAGGGGGCAAGCGUUGUUCGGAAUUACUGGGCGUAAAGAGCGCGCAGGCGGUCGGAUAAGUCGCGUGUGAAAGCCCCCGGCUCAACUGGGGAGGGUCACGCGAUACUGUUCGACUCGAAGGCAGGAGAGGGAAGUGGAAUUCCCGGUGUAGUGGUGAAAUGCGUAGAUAUCGGGAGGAACACCAGUGGCGAAGGCGACUUCCUGGCCUGUUCUUGACGCUGAGGCGCGAAAGCGUGGGGAGCAAACAGG